rnacentral:rRNA from 1 species
UACGUAGGGUGCAAACGUUGCUCGGAAUCAUUGGGCGUAAAGCGCACGUAGGCGGUUCGUUAUGUCGGAUGUGAAAGCCCUUGGCUUAACCGAGGAAGUGCAUCCGAAACUGGCGAGCUAGAGUACGAAAGAGGAUCGCGGAAUUCCCGGUGUAGAGGUGAAAAUUCGUAGAUAUCGGGAGGAACACCGGUGGCGAAGGCGGCGAUCUGGGUCGAUACUGACGCUGAGGUGCGAAAGCGUGGGGAGCAAACAGG